UUUCAAUAUAAAAAAAAAAGUGUUUUCAAGUGUAAUAUUUCUGUAAAGGGACAGAAAAGUUGACUUUUCUGUAGAAUGACCCAUUCAUUGUAAAAUGAAGCAGUAACUUCAACCUACUACUAACUAAUUAAAGAUGUCAUCAGAUCAUGUGUGCUUUCAGCAGUUAUCAUUUUAAACAUCAAAAUCAUGAUGCCCCCCAAUAGUAGGCUACUGAAUAUAAGAUGUGGGAUAAUAUAAGAAUGGGACAUUUUAUCCAAGUCAUCUCAAUGGUAAAAAGUGUCCCAAUCACCCUGAACUGGAGCUCUAAAAUAAUGUUAUUGACUUCAACUGAUGAAUGCAGCCAAAGAAAAGAUGAAGAAUGGAAAAGCACUUUGCUGGCAAAGAAAUUGGAAAAUAACACAGGUUACGCGCAUGUAUCCAUGGCAACGCUCGGCUGCGUCGACAGUUAACGGUCCUGCCGGUGAUUUUCUCAGAUGAGGCCUUGAGUUUUCUCUUUCGUCGGUCGAAAAGGUUAGAAGCCAUCGAAAAAACUGCCAUCGGACUACCACAGCUGACAACGAGAGACGCGCGUGCACAACUGCAUAACACACACACACACACACACACACACACACACACGGAAAGAGCACAACAAUUAUGAAACUGCUCAUUUAUUAUAAAUAAAUAAAUGUAUUUUUCUCCUUA